rnacentral:rRNA from 1 species
UACGUAGGGGGCGAGCGUUGUCCGGAAUUAUUGGGCGUAAAGGGCGUGUAGGCGGUUUUGUAAGUUGGAUGUUAAAGGUAUGGGCUCAACUCAUACAUUGCGUUCAAUACUGCAUUUCUAGAGAUUGGUAGAGGAAAACGGAACUUCCGGUGUAGCGGUGAAAUGCGUAGAUAUCGGAAGGAACACCAGUGGCGAAGGCGGUUUUCUGGGCCAAUUCUGACGCUGAGGCGCGAAAGCUAGGGGAGCAAACAGG